rnacentral:rRNA from 1 species
AUGAACGCUGGCGGCAGGCCUAACACAUGCAAGUCGAACGGAGUUAUAUUGUAGCUUGCUAUGGUAUAACUUAGUGGCAGACGGGUGAGUAAUGUAUAGGAAUCUACCUAGUAGUACGGAAUAAUUGUUGGAAACGGCAACUAAUACCGUAUACGCCCUACGGGGGAAAAAUUUAUUGCUAUUAGAUGAGCCUAUAUUAGAUUAGCUAGUUGGUGGAGUAAUAGCCUACCAAGGCAAUGAUCUAUAGCUGAUCUGAGAGGAUGAUCAGCCACACUGGAACUGAGAUACGGUCCAGACUCCUACGGGAGGCAGCAGUGGGGAAUAUUGGACAAUGGGCGAAAGCCUGGUCCAGCCAUGCCGCAUGAGUGAAGAAGGCCUUUGGGUUGUAAAGCUCUUUUAGUGAGGAAGAUAAUGACGGUACUCACAGAAGAAGUCCUGGCUAACUCCGUGCCAGCAGCCGCGGUAAUACGGAGAGGGCUAGCGUUAUUCGGAAUUAUUGGGCGUAAAGGGCGCGUAGGCGGAUUAGUAAGUUAAAAGUGAAAUCCCAAGGCUCAACCUUGGAAUUGCUUUUAAAACUGCUAAUCUAGAGAUUGAGAGAG